GAAAGUGGAGCAAUCCAUGAGUAGAGUGGCGAACGGGUGAGUAACACGUGGGUGACCUGCCUUCGAGUGGGGGAUAACGUCCCGAAAGGGACGCUAAUACCGCAUGACAUCCUGCCUUUGAAGAGGUGGUGAUUAAAGCUGGGGAUCGCAAGACCUGGCGCUUGAAGAGGGGCCCGCGUCCGAUUAGCUAGUUGGUGGGGUAAUGGCCUACCAAGGCGACGAUCGGUAGCCGGCCUGAGAGGGCGGACGGCCACACUGGGACUGAGACACGGCCCAGACUCCUACGGGAGGCAGCAGUGGGGAAUUGUUCGCAAUGGGCGCAAGCCUGACGACGCAACGCCGCGUGGAGGAUGAAGAAUUUCGGUUCGUAAACUCCUUUCGAUCGGGACGAAUCGGUCACGGCCUAAUACGCCGUGGCACUGACGGUACCGAGAGAAGAAGCCCCGGCUAACUCCGUGCCAGCAGCCGCGGUAAUACGGGGGGGGCAAGCGUUGUUCGGAAUUACUGGGCGUAAAGGGCGCGUAGGCGGCCUGC
rnacentral:rRNA from 1 species